GAUGAACGCUAGCGGGAGGCCUAACACAUGCAAGCCGAGCGGUAUAGAAUCUUCGGAUUUUAGAGAGCGGCGUACGGGUGCGGAACACGUGUGCAACCUACCUUUAUCUGGAGGAUAGCCUUUCGAAAGGAAGAUUAAUACUCCAUAAUAUAUUGAUUGGCAUCAAUUAAUAUUGAAAGCUCUGGCGGAUAGAGAUGGGCACGCGCAAGAUUAGUUAGUUGGUGAGGUAACGGCUCACCAAGACGAUGAUCUUUAGGGGGCCUGAGAGGUGAUCCCCACACUGGUACUGAGACACGGACCAGACUCCUACGGGAGGCAGCAGUGAGGAAUAUUGGACAAUGGGUGCAAGCCUGAUCCAGCCAUCCCGCGUGAAGGACGACUGCCCUAUGGGUUGUAAACUUCUUUUGUAUAGGGAUAAACCUCUCCUCGUGAGGAGAGCUGAAGGUACUAUACGAAUAAGCAACCGGCUAACUCCGUGCCAGCAGCCGCGGUAAU
rnacentral:rRNA from 1 species